rnacentral:rRNA from 1 species
GUACGGGGGGGGUAAGCGUUGUUCGGAAUUACUGGGCGUAAAGGGCUCGUAGGCGGCCAACUAAGUCAUACGUGAAAUCCCUCAGCUUAACUGGGGAACUGCGUGUGAUACUGGAUGGCUUGGAUUUGGGAGAGGGAUGCGGAAUUCCAGGUGUAGCGGUGAAAUGCGUAGAUAUCUGGAGGAACACCGGUGGCGAAGGCGGCAUCCUGGACCAAUAUUGACGCUGAGGAGCGAAAGCGUGGGGAGCGAACAGG